UACGGAGGGUGCAAGCGUUAUCCGGAUUUACUGGGUUUAAAGGGUGCGCAGGCGGAUAUGUAAGUCAGGGGUGAAAUCCCGAGGCUCAACCUCGGAACUGCCUUUGAUACUAUUGGUCUUGAAUCUUGUUGAGGUGGGCGGAACGGGUCAUGUAGCGGUGAAAUGCAUAGAUAUGACCCGGAACACCGAUUGCGAAGGCAGCCCGCUAAGCAAGCAUUGACGCUGAGGCACGAAAGCGUGGGGAUCAAACAGG
rnacentral:rRNA from 1 species